AUCGAGAAUGCCGAAAAUCGAUUAAAAGAGUAGGCU
ncrna:unclassified sequences DTF805b RNA